rnacentral:rRNA from 1 species
GCAACCCCAGGACGGGCGAGGCCACUCGCCGAGUUUAAGCAUAUCAAUAAGCGGAGGAGAGAACU